GACGGAAGGUGCAAGCGUUGCUCGGAAUCACUGGGCGUAAAGCGCGUGUAGGCGGCUUGGCAAGUCGGAUGUGAAAGCCCACGGCUCAACCGUGGAAGCGCAUCCGAAACUGCUUCGCUCGAGUCUCGGAGAGGAAGGUGGAAUGCUUGGUGUAGAGGUGAAAUUCGUAGAUAUCAAGCAGAACACCUGCGGCGAAGGCGGCCUUCUGGACGAUGACUGACGCUGAGACGCGAAAGCGUGGGGAGCAAACAGG
rnacentral:rRNA from 1 species